rnacentral:misc_RNA from 1 species
CCCCGGCUACCCCCUCAAAAGAAGCAGUAUAAGAUCUAUUGAGACCGGACCAACCCCCUCUCUUUACCCUACUCUUCUCUCUAAUACCCACUCCGACACCUCAGAAGAAUUGAACCCAAAACGAAAACUCCAAAUCCAACGCUAGAAAAUGUAAAUCAAACAGAUUCUAUGCACCGAUAUAACCCCAAACCAUGCAGAUCUAAGAAAUAUGAAUGACUCCCGGGUGAUUGAGAGAAAGAAAGGAUUUUCCCGGAAAGGGAAGGAAAAUGAGAGAAAGUAGCGGAAAGAAAAACAAAAAGUAUAACGAUCAGAGAGACGAACUAGGGUUUGGUUUUUUUUUUUUUUUUUUUUUU